rnacentral:rRNA from 1 species
UACGUAGGGUGCAAGCGUUGUCCGGAAUUAUUGGGCGUAAAGAGCUCGUAGGCGGUUCGUCGCGUCGGCUGUGAAAACCCGGAGCUCAACUCCGGGCCUGCAGUCGAUACGGGCGGACUUGAGUGUUGCAGGGGAGACUGGAAUUCCUGGUGUAGCGGUGAAAUGCGCAGAUAUCAGGAGGAACACCGGUGGCGAAGGCGGCGCUCUGGGCCGGAACUGACGCUGAGGAGCGAAAGCGUGGGUAGCAAACAGG